GCCCGGAUGGUGAAAUUGGUAGACACGCUAGGUUCAGGGUCUAGUGGCUGUAAGGCCGUGGAGGUUCAAGUCCUCUUCCGGGCA
rnacentral:tRNA from 1 species